UUUGAUUUUUAUCUUCAUGUUCAUACUUCAGUAGUGUACUAUACAUAUGCUUGUAUUCUCUUACUAAAUUGAUGAUUCUACAUUCCGAACCAACCUCAACUCAACUCCCAUUCACCAAGAUAUUUCUUGGUGAAAGUCCUCAAGUUACCAUUACUUAUUUUUAACAGUAGGCUAAAUUUGUCAGUUGGGCAUUACCAAGUAUUGUAUCAAACCUUAUAUGUAAGAAGCCACAGGGUUACUUAAGUUUCUUCCAUCUGUCAAAAAUAGAAUAUGUUAUUUUUUAAGGUUCGUAUUUAUCUAUGUGAACUGCAAGUUCAUUGGUGGAAAAAUCGAUGGACGAGACAGAAAAAUGGCAUGUGUAAGGUACACAUGUUACAUAUGCCAUGCUCAAGUUAAAUCUGCGCCAAGUUUUUGGUUCUGGUAGUGUGCUUAUUGAUGCCUGAUGUCCUCAAUAUUGGAUGGUUCUUCUACACAAGUUCAAAGAAAGAAAGAGGCAAAUUUCUGUAAGUUUAUCUGAAUCUUUGUUAGCUAAGUAGUUUGUCAAGCUUUGAGUCUGUCAUCACGCACGAUCUCCUUUAUGCUCUGUCUUGUUGUUGAUGGAGACUAAACCGAUGUUGGAGUGCUCAAAUGCAGAUUGGUGUUUGCUCGAGUUGGAUUUCUCUUGCGGCAGGUUCAUAUUUACUUUCCUCGAUGCCUACUACAUGCCCAUCAAGGUAUGGUAAUACUUGUUGGAACAAGCACUCCGUUCUCUCCUAAAAGAACAUAUGUAAUCCAAUUUUUAAUGUUACAUGAAUGAAUCUCUGGAAAAAGUAGAUGUGUAAUUUGACUUGGUGCA